UGGUUUUCUUUUUGAUGUUUUUUUUUUUUUAAUAACGUUUGCUAACGUGUUGUUCUCGCUUGUGUUGGAAGGUGAGGCAGCUGACCUACCUGCAUAUGCCUGGAAGAGGCUGGAAAGGAGAGUGGGUUACUAACUGCUUCAACGAACAACGGGCUGGAAUGUCUUGAACAUCUUCUUGCUAAAAUUUGCGACUUUUCUUUGCCAACUCUGCAAUUCUCUUAUGAAAAUUUACUCUUACACAUUCUAAAUAUGCUGCAUAUGAAACUGAUGACAUCAAAAAACACGAGAUUUUUGCACAUGCAAUGGUUAAACCGUGACAUUUUAUGAACUGUACUGACAGUGUUGGUUCGAUUGCUUGAUUCCACAGCAUUUGAACUGGAGAUUCAGCGGGAUUUCUGUUCUGUUAAUCCAUGGACAUCAUCGACAGGUGUUGGGUGGCAGCUUGGAGAGCCGAGUCCAGCAUCCUUCCAUCGAAACGUGGUGUUGACAGCUAUGCUAGUAGAAAGAAAUAAAGUUGCGCUUUCGCUACUAGCUAUAUAGCUUUUGGCGUAGUGGUAAGCGCUUGAUCCUGACAAUUGGUAUCAGAGCAGCUUUUGGUGUAGUGGUAAGCGUUUGGUCCUGACAAUUGGUAUCGGAACAACUUUUGGCGUAGUGUUACCAUCACCUUGGUUGUUGCAAUGGGGACCUUUGCAUGGUAGUGUUAAUUUUAGGGUUUGGAGACCCCAAACUCGAGUGCCCCCACCAAUUCUUUACCCUAGAGUCUCGGUGAAGGAUGUAAGCACGGGAUAUGCCUCAACAACAUUAGGCUCCCCAAAGCGCCCGCCCACUCGAAACAGACAAGAGCAAGCAGGUUGAGCUAAAACACUCCAAAACUGGAGAUGAUGGAAGUCUCUUCAAUUCAUCCUAAUUCCUACUACCCUUUUGGCCAUGGCAUUGUUUGUCCAAACUCUAUCCCAUAAAUGAUUAACAGUGACAGAUGUGUGAGGGGCAGUUAGCUAGGAAUAUAUACAUAUAUAUAUAUAUAUAUAUAUAUAUAUAUAUAUGGAUGGAUUUUGUUGUUUAAGUUUGAGGUGUGAUUGGAGCAAGCAGAGUUUAGGAUGACAAAAACUGUAUGUGUUGUUGAAGGGUGUUUUUCUAGGAUUGUAGUUGGGGUGUCAUCUGUCAUGGCUUACUAUAUUGAGGGUGACACAGAAUAAGUGUGGAGGUUCAUGGUGGGAUUGAAAUUGGAUGCUUUUAUCUGCAUCAUUUUCAAUCAUUGUUCAUGUAUAUAUGUAUAUAUAUGUUAUACCCACAGCUGGAUAUUCUCCUAACAGCUGAUGCCAAACAUGACACACCACCACACAAGAGAAUAAACCAGCCUGUGCAUGGCUGCUUUGCCAUGUUGUUUGGCACAACUCCACCAACAACUUUAUUAGCCAACAACUCGAUAC